GGUCUGGUGGUGUAGUUGGUUAUCACGUCAGUCUAACAGUGCGAUUCGUAACCCUCUUGGGGUCCGUCGCCUGGUCACACUGAAGGUCUCCGGUUCAAGUCCGGGCUAGAUCA
rnacentral:tRNA from 1 species